rnacentral:rRNA from 1 species
AACAUACCUUUUAGUUUGGGAUAGCCUUGAGAAACUGGGUGUAAUACCGAAUAAUAUUGAUUAGAAGCAUUUUUAAUUGAUUAAAGCUCCGGCGCUAGGAGAUUGGUGUGCGUAGGAUUAGGUAGUUGGUGAGGUAACGGCUCACCAAGCCGACGAUCCUUAGGGGGCGUGAGAGCGUGAACCCCCACACGGGUACUGAGACACGGACCCGACUCCUACGGGAGGCAGCAGUAGGGAAUAUUGGACAAUGGGCGCAAGCCUGAUCCAGCCAUGCCGCGUGAAU